CCCAGCUGCGCAGGAGGACGAGGACAUCCCGCCGCCUAGAGAUGCUGCAUCCUCCCUGCAAGACGAGGAGGUGUACGAGGCUAUAAACGAAUGACGGAGGGUAAGAGAGGAUGAGGAUCUACUGACAAAGUGAGGAGCCUAUGGUGUCCGGGCGUGAAACUCUGCAGAGAAGAUGGAGCUGGAAGACGUCCUGACAUCUGGACCAAAUGAGGAAGAAAAGAAAAGACAACAGAGAAGACGUCAUUCAGGCUUUUAUGGAGACCUCCAAUAUAAUGAUGCAUAAUACAUGAAUACAGGACAGUAUACGGCAAAACACAUGGUAACAGAUAUAUAAAUAAAUUCUUGAACAUUCUAUGACCCGCAAAUAACUAGUAACUAUCCAGCGAAAGAAUAGAAGAAUUCUGCCACCUGCCUGCCAGAAAAGAUGCUGUGUAAGCAUGUGCUGAGACCCCGACUGAUCAAAGCUUUUCACAUAUCCCUGUGACAGGCUCCCGAAUGAGACAAUCAUUUGCAUAUUUUUCAUUAUCAGAAUAGAAGAAGGACACAGAUUGUCUGGCAUUCACCUGACAAUGAGUGUACCGGACCCUUUCAAAGCCAGGAGAGGACUUGCUGGCCACGUUUCCUGUUUCUGCAGCCUCCAAGAGUCAGUUCAUUGUGUAGAGAGCCCGGUGUGCACAGUCUGAAGGGAAAAGCUGCAAUCCUGAUGGAUCCUGUCCAGCCUUUAGCAUAGGUGGAAUAACAAAACCACUUGGAAGGCAGCUGGAGUUGGAUGGCACCGAUAGUGAGUGGUUACUGAGUAUGGCUGUGCUAUGCAGAGACUGUUACCAUGUUCCUGCACCUGUACCUGUUAUUAAAACUUCAGUAAAGUUGUUGGAUUCCACUCUUGACUGGUUAUUGUUGACCCGGCACCUUACAACUUCCCACAGGCUUUU